rnacentral:rRNA from 1 species
AGCUCCAAUAGCGUAUAUUAAAGUUGUUGUGGUUAAAAAGCUCGUAGUUGGAUCUCGGCGGUCUGAGGGCGGUUCGCUUCAGAGCGCUACUGCCCUAUAGACCGUAGUUUUGCCAGAGGUCUCAGGGUGCUCUUAACCGAGUGUCUUGCGAUGCUGGCAGGUUUACUUUGAAAAAAUUAGAGUGCUCAAAGCAGGCUUUUACGCCUGAAUAUUCGUGCAUGGAAUAAUAGAAUAGGAAGUCGUUUCUAUUUUAUUGGUUUUCGGAAAUCGACUUAAUGAUUAAUAGGGACAGUCGGGGGCAUUUGUAUUCAAACGACAGAGGUGAAAUUCUUGGACCGUUUGAAGACAAACUACUGCGAAAGCAUUUGCCAAGAAUGUUUUCAUUA